CCUACGGGAGGCAGCAGUGGGGAAUAUUGCACAAUGGGCGCAAGCCUGAUGCAGCAACGCCGCGUGAACGAGGAAGGCUUUCGGGAUGUAAAGUUCUUUCAGCAGGGACGAAAAGAGUAGGUUACCUACCGAAUAGCCCCGGCUAAAUACGUGCCCGCAGCCGCGGUAAAACGUAGGGGGGAAGCGUUAUUCGGAUUUACUGGGUGUAAAGGGGGCGUAGGCGGGAUGGCAAGACAGAAGUGAAAUGCCAGGGCUCAACCCUGGAAAUGCAUUUGGAACUGUGGUGCUAGAGUGUAGGAGAGGUAAGUGGAAUUCCUAGUGUAGCGGUGAAAUGCGUAGAUAUUAGGAGGAACACCAGUGGCGAAGGCGGCUUACUGGACGAUAACUGACGGUGAGGCGCGAAAGCGUGGGGAGCAAACAGGAUUAGAUACCCCAGUAGUC
rnacentral:rRNA from 1 species